rnacentral:rRNA from 1 species
UGGGGAAUUUUGGACAAUGGGGGCAACCCUGAUCCAGCAAUGCCGCGUGAGUGAAGAAGGCCUUCGGGUUGUAAAGCUCUUUUGUCAGGGAAGAAACGGUAGUAGCGAAUAACUACUACUAAUGACGGUACUCGCAGAAGAAGCACCGGCUAACUACGUGCCAGCAGCCGCGGUAAUACGUAGGGUGCAGGCGUUAAUCGGAAUUACUGGGCGUAAAGCGCGUGUAGGCGGGUCGUUAAGUUGGGGGUGAAAUCCCGAGGCUCAACCUCGGAACUGCCUUCAAAACUGGCGACCUGGACUCAAGUAGAGGCAAGUGGGAUUGCGAGUGUAGAGGUGAAAUUCGUAGAUAUUCGCAGGAACACCAGUGGCGAAGGCGACUUGCUGGACUUGUAGUGACGCUGAGACGCGAAAGCGUGGGGAGCAAACAGGAUUAGAUACCCCUGUAGUCCCUGAGCGGGCUGGCAAGGCGCAU